rnacentral:rRNA from 1 species
AUUGAACGCUGGCGGCAUGCCUUACACAUGCAAGUCGAACGGUAACAGGUCUUCGGAUGCUGACGAGUGGCGAACGGGUGAGUAAUACAUCGGAACGUGCCCGAGAGUGGGGGAUAACGAGGCGAAAGCUUUGCUAAUACCGCAUACGAUCUCAGGAUGAAAGCAGGGGACCGCAAGGCCUUUCGCUCACGGAGAGGCCGAUGGCAGAGUAGGUAGUUGGUGGGAUAAAAGCUUACCAAGCCGACGAUCUGUGGCUGGUCUGAGAGGACGACCAGCCACACUGGGACUGAGACACGGCCCAGACUCCUACGGGAGGCAGCAGUGGGGAAUUUUGGACAAUGGGCGCAAGCCUGAUCCAGCCAUGCCGCGUGCAGGAUGAAGGCCUUCGGGUUGUAAACUGCUUUUGUACGGAACGAAAAGACUCUGGUUAAUACCUGGGGUCCAUGACGGUACCGUAAGAAUAAGCACCGGCUAACUACGUGCCAGCAGCCGCAGUAAGAC